rnacentral:rRNA from 1 species
AUCCAGACUCCUACGGGAGGCAGCAGUGGGGAAUAUUGCACAAUGGGGGAAACCCUGAUGCAGCGACGCCGCGUGAGCGAUGAAGUAUUUCGGUAUGUAAAGCUCUAUCAGCAGGGAAGAAGAUGACGGUACCUGACUAAGAAGCCCCGGCUAACUACGUGCCAGCAGCCGCGGUAAUACGUAGGGGGCAAGCGUUAUCCGGAUUUACUGGGUGUAAAGGGAGCGUAGACGGCGAUGCAAGCCAGAUGUGAAAGCCCGGGGCUCAACCCCGGGACUGCAUUUGGAACUGUGUGGCUGGAGUGUCGGAGAGGCAGGCGGAAUUCCUAGUGUAGCGGUGAAAUGCGUAGAUAUUAGGAGGAACACCAGUGGCGAAGGCGGCCUGCUGGACGAUGACUGACGUUGAGGCUCGAAAGCGUGGGGAGCAAACAGGAUUAGAUACCCCGGUAAA